rnacentral:rRNA from 1 species
UACGAGGGGGGCGAGCGUUGUUCGGAAUUAUUGGGCGUAAAGGGCGCGUAGGCGGUGCGGUAAGUCACCUGUGAAACCUCUGGGCUUAACUCAGAGCCUGCAGGCGAAACUGCCGUGCUGGAGUGUGGGAGAGGUGCGUGGAAUUCCCGGUGUAGCGGUGAAAUGCGCAGAUAUCAGGAGGAACACCAAUAGCGAAGGCAGCUCGCUGGGACGUUACUGACACUAAGGCGCGAAAGCGUGGGGAGCGAACAGG